CAAUAGCGUAUAUUAAAGUUGUUGCAGUUAAAAAGCUCGUAGUUGGAUUUCUGGUAGGAGUGACCGUGCCAGACUUGAUUGUCUGUGUAUUGUGUUGUCGCCAGCCAUCCUUGUGGAGAACUUUUCUUGCAUUAAUUUGUAGGGAUUGGGACCCGCAUCGUUUACUGUGAAAAAAUUAGAGUGUUUAAAGCAGGCAAUCGCUUGAAUACAUUAGCAUGGAAUAAUAAGAUAGGACUUUGGUACUAUUUUGUUGGUUUGCAUACCAAAUUAAUGAUCAACAGGAACAGUUUGAGGAUAUUCGUAUGAACAUGUCAGAGGUGAAAUUCUUGGAUUUUGAUCAGACGAACUACUGCGAAAGCAUUUAUCAAGGAUGUUUUCAUUAA
rnacentral:rRNA from 1 species